rnacentral:lncRNA from 1 species
UUAUGUGGAAAAUAAAAUUAAGCAUUCUCUGUGUUGAACCUUAUUUAGAAUGAAGACAAAUGAGUACACUUUACCAGAGGACGGAUUUUGGAUCGAUGUACCAAAAGGUUUUCUGCUGGGAGUUGAUCUUCUCAUCAUUGGAAUUGUCCUUUUUGGGCCAGAAUGAUCACUUUUCAGCCUUCAUAUUCUGGAAUCACUCCCUGAACACAAAGUGACAGCUGUUUUCCAAGAUACUAACAGCCCUGAAUCCACUACGACCACGUGUGCUGUUUCUUCCAGGACUUCAGCGGGUGCCCCGCCCAACAGCCCAAGUCCUUCCGCUUCUUGAGGAUGUAGCAAUGGUUCAUGGCUCAUCUGAAGUCAAGUGGCACACAGCACAGCUUUAUGGCAGAAGCUGAAGGCGGUAUCCUGGGGGGCGUCUUUUGCACGUAAGGGAAGUCAGGGACUGGCAGUCCCCAGAGGCUUCCCUCAAGAGGAGCUCAGCCUAAGCAGAAGGCGAGGAAGGAGGAUUGAAGUAUGGUGGGUUUCAGCCUAGAAGAAU